UACGGAGGGGGCUAGCGUUGUUCGGAAUUACUGGGCGUAAAGCGCGUGCAGGCUGCUCUGCAAGUCGGAUGUGAAAGCCCUGGGCUCAACCUAGGAAGUGCAUUCGAAACUGCAGAGCUGGAGUCCUGGAGAGGAAGGCGGAAUUCUCGGUGUAGGGGUGAAAUUCGUAGAUAUCGAGAGGAACACCGGUGGCGAAGGCGGCCUUCUGGACAGUGACUGACGCUGAGACGCGAAAGCGUGGGGAGCAAACAGG
rnacentral:rRNA from 1 species